rnacentral:lncRNA from 1 species
CACGGAUCUUCGGGCGGGGAGGACAUUCGGCCUCUGUGAGCCGCAACCUUGCCCAGCGAGCGGUUGGGUGUUCGCCAUCUUAGGAGGAUGUUCUCGUCCGUAGCGCACCUGGCGCGGGCGAACCCCUUCAACGCGCCACAUCUGCAGCUGGUGCACGAUGUGUCGGGUCCCCGCAGCCCCCCAGGUCCGCCCCGGCGUUCCCGCCACCUGGCUGCCGCCGCCGUGGAAGGUGAGGUCACACCCUGCCCUGUGCGAGCACUGGUUUCGUGCUGUUCCCCGCUCUGCCUACGAGACCUGGGCCGGAUAGGGAGGUCGAGGAAGGACGCUCCAGCCCUGGACCUGAGAACCGGUCUCUAGCUGACCCUGGGAUGUCAGCUCUGACGCCCUAGGCCGCUGUCGGAUCCUUGGCCCUCCCUCAAGGGCGUGGAAGGGCCCAGGCCCAGCGCCACUCAGUGACCUCCGUGUCCCCAAGGGAGUAGAGGCAGA